CAGUACGUGUGUCUCACACUCUGUUACAUAACAUUUUAAUUAUCUUUGCCACAAAGCUUCAUUUAUCCAGAGAAGUUCAAAGUAAAGAUUAAUUCACACUUUAGGUUUUUCUCCUUUUGUCUAUUUGUUCAGUUCUGACUCCUUCGGUUUUGGUUGCAGAGAAAGUUCAAAGUUCAUGCUCCUUUGUUUUUUGUUAAGUCAGGCAGAGUCAGGUUUUGCUUGGGCAUCAUCUCGUCUCGUCCGUUCAGCAAAAGCCUCCAAAUAAGUUUACACUUGUGGUUUUGCUCGUUGGUUUAAUUCUUCAGUCCACACUCCUUGGGUUUUUGUUCUAGAGAAGUUAAAGAAAACCUGUAGAGGUUUGUGACAACGCAGCCCAAGGACAUGGUGUUGAAGCUGUCGGGCGCGCAGAGGCAGGCGGUGCUGAAGCGCGGGGGCUUGCUGCUGCCAAGGGGUCAAACGACACCCCUGUACUAGAGCAGGUAGUACUGCAUGGGCGUGUCCACCUGUGACGUACCUGGCCACGGUGGCGGCACAGCGGCGUCGAGCAUAAGCUGCACGCCGCUCUUGCCCAUGCAACCCGCCGCCUGCUAGCCAUGCAUCAUGCCGGCGGUCGUCUCCACAUCAGUUCGAUUUGGGCACUUGGGACAACGACUUAAAAGUUGAAUGAUGCCAUGAUUUGGCAUUUGCUCUAUGUAUAGUGAAAUAGUGUUGUGUAUUGUUAUCGGCUCAUGAUUGCCAUCAUGAUACUUGUAUUGGGGGCUGGAGCUCAUGUAUUACUCCCAGGUGUUUGCUUAAAUGCUUCAGUCCAACAAAAAGCUCCAGAAAAGUUCAUAGUUUGUUUUCAGAAAAACUCCAUGGUAUUUCUUCAGCUGCAGCAUGUACAUGUGUCCCUACAAAAAAUGUCCUAUAGGUGUUUAUGUUCAUGCCCACAAGUGAUUUGUUGUGAAGUUAGGCAAGAUGAAGCUGGGACAAGUCCGAAUCGUGUGGCAGCGCCUCUUGUGAUUACUACUACAAAGCAGAAAGGAUCUCUAGCCAAAUCCUGGUGCGCCCAGCCGCUGCUCGUGAACCCCGCCUCCAUCAGCUCCACUUCACUAGAGCCGUCAGUCCACAGGAAUAGGGGUAGCGGAUCCCCUAUAGCGGCCAAAUCCCGGUGCACCCAGCCGCUGCUCGUGAACCCCGCCUCCAUCAGCUCCACUUCACCGGAGCCAUCAGUUCGCAGUAGGGGUAGCAGCUGAAAAUGCAUGGUGUUCUGAAAUUGCUUGCGGACCACUAGCUGAAAUUGCUUGACGAACAAAGCAAAGGGCCCAAACCCACUAUCGUGCAAGAAAAAGAAAGCAAAGCCUCAACCAACAGCUGCUCAAUCAUUAGGAUCUGAUGGCCGAUGGAGAGGCGAAGCGGAAGACGGUUAGGAAGCGCAAGAGAAUUGGCAAAGACAGCAUGUCAAUGUGUAUUUAAUAGCAAGUCCAUGUAUUACUACAUGAGAAGUACUGCUAGCUCACGACCAUCCUCUAACACCCGUCAGUGCCACCGAUUUAAAGGAGCUCCGUGAGCGUGUACUUUUCCUGAUAAGUUCGAAAAACAAACCACGACCAGUUUGAAAAAGAACCACUCUCGCUCCACCGCGGCGCCCAGGCCGUUCGCCGCCGGCACCACAGUCCGUUCACCACCGGCGCCACAGUCCGUUCACAGUGACACUGAGGCCGUUCAACGAUGCAAUGGUGAGGUCUGGCCUUUCCCAUUCCUCUUUUUAUGAAGCCUCCGAGUCGAAGUUCACCUCCGUGUGCUGCUCCACUCGUAGCUCCCAGCCUACCCUCGAGCAAGUUCGUGCCGUGCACGAGAUCAGUUCAACCUGUGCACUUGUUCGACCUCGACGCUUGUGGCAGUCCCACAAGGACAAGUGUGGUCUACGAUCGAGCAGUUGGUUCCCAAGUGGGUUCCUGGCUGAAGGUGGGCUUCCACGUUGAGGUGUGGAACGCAAUUUACAUGGAGAUCCUGAUGGAGUAAGAUGAUGGCGAUGUGGCGCAGGUGGACCUCAUGGAGUUUGGCUGGGCUAGCGGCGGUCGGUGGUGGACGCGGGUGCAUGAGUUAUGGGGCUCCAUCUGCCGCUCAACCACCGCUUACUCCCACUCUGUUCACUAGUUUUGUUUUCAUUGUCAUGCCUAUUCAUCGUCGACCUGCAGCAGCAGGAGACACGAGAUCACCUCCGGCACCGUUGGUCACAUGAAGGUCACCAAAAAUGCACAAGAGAGGUUUGGACGGAUGCUGAUCACUAGCCCACUAUGACGCCACCGAUCACUAGCACGAAGGACACCAACAGGUUGAGGAUGAAGUACAUGACGCAGACAAUGAGGAAAACCGAAACAUGGAAUCCGUACACAUAGCACCAACUGCAAAUUCAAAUUUUCUGUCUGAUGAUUUGAUUGCUACUUGUUAAAGAAAGUGUACAUAACAGUUAGAUGUUUCCGCAAGAAAGGAAAAUUUGUUUGAAUUAAAAAUAUUGAUCAGUACGAAUCAAAAAUAAUGAUCAGUUCGAUAGU